rnacentral:lncRNA from 1 species
AUCAACGCGGAAUGAGCAGGAAGAGGAAAAAGAUCUUUUACUUCCUAAAAGGAAGAUGAAAUCAUUGCUUGCUGAAGAAAAUGACCGAAAUGAAGUUGUCUCCACUAUACAUGCAGAAAGGGAAAAUUUUCAAACCCAAUCAAAUCGACCCUUUUUUAUUGCUUAAACCAGUGCUCAAGAAUGUAGUCUCAAACAGUCGAAUUCUAGUUGUUCAUGGUCUCAAAAGUCUUCAU